GGAGAGGUGGCGGAGCGGUCGAUCGCGGCGGUCUUGAAAACCGUUGACCCGAAAGGGUCCGGGGGUUCGAAUCCCUCCCUCUCCGCCA
rnacentral:tRNA from 1 species